rnacentral:rRNA from 1 species
UACAGAGGGUGCAAGCGUUAAUCGGAAUUACUGGGCGUAAAGGGCGCGUAGGCGGCUCGCUAAGUCGGAUGUGAAAACUCUGGGCUCAACCCAGAGCCUGCAUUCGAAACUGACGAGCUGGAGUUCUGGAGGGGAAAGCGGAAUUCCUGGUGUAGCGGUGAAAUGCGUAGAUAUCAGGAGGAACACCGGUGGCGAAGGCGGCUUUCUGGACAGAAACUGACGCUGAUGCGCGAAAGCUAGGGGAGCAAACAGG